rnacentral:sRNA from 1 species
UACGCUCAUACUCCACCCACACUG